GGGGCCAUAGCUCAGCUGGGAGAGCGCCUGCUUUGCAAGCAGGAGGUCGCCGGUUCGAUCCCGGCUGGCUCCA
rnacentral:tRNA from 3 species